UCUGUUUUGAUUCCUUCCUGUCUGUUUGUAGAAACCAGACAGCUGGGCUGGUUUCCAUAACAUGUUUAAACUGCUAAAAUAAACAUGACUUGUGCUCCUAAUUUAUUUUUAACAGUUGCAGCAAGUGCUGUCUUACUGAUUGUCAAGACGUGCUAGAGAAAUAGGGCAGGGCUGUGAAGAAUUACUCAACUUUGUCUCAUUUUAUGCCAAACUCCGUGGUAGUCCUCCAAGUCUCGUUUGUCAACGAUGGUCUUCAAGGAGAAUCCAGACAUGUAAAUGCUUUCAUUUUUAAUAUUUUCCUCCUGUGUCUUUGAAACAUCUUAAAAGCCUGAAAAAGAGUCAAUUGUUGGUAUUGCCAGGUGUUCCAACAAGCAGAUGCAAAUUCUAUUCAUAAGAUUUGUAUCAGAAGUGCAUCAUUUGUUUCUUGACUGGCAGAAUAUACGUUUGUCCCGUUUGUCCUGCAUAAAAUCUGAAGGAGCAUUGUUGGUGGAUGAUGGCAUAUAUUACCUUAGAGGAAGAAGCAGAAUCCAUUGGUCAGAAGUCCCAGAACAUUCCCCACUGUCCAGUCAGAACUGAAAAAGCUACUUGGAUGAAAAGUGAAAUGUCUUCAAAGAAAAACCAGAAAGUGCAGUUGUCUCUUGAAAAAGCACCUUUGGGACAACCAUGACCUGGAUGACUGAGAAUCUCCAUAGGCCAUUGGUCAGAAGUGAACAUUUCUUAAGAAAUACCUUGUUCAUCUCUUUAAAUUUGUAAAUAAAAAAAUCAAUGUU